rnacentral:rRNA from 1 species
AUGAACGCUGGCGGCGUGCUUAAUACAUGCAAGUCGAACGAAGAGCCCUUAACCGAAGAUGAUGACGUGCUUGCACUGAAUCUGAUUCACCUUAGGGUUACUGAGUGGCGGACGGGUGAGUAACGCGUGGGUAACCUGCCUUAGACAGGGGGAUAACAUCAAGAAAUUGGUGCUAAUACCGCAUAUGCUCACAGUAUCGCAUGAUACAGUGAGGAAAACUCCGGUGGUCUAAGAUGGACCCGCGUCUGAUUAGCUAGUUGGAGGGGUAACGGCCCACCAAGGCGACGAUCAGUAGCCGACUUGAGAGAGUGAUCGGCCACAUUGGGACUGAGACACGGCCCAAACUCCUACGGGAGGCAGCAGUAGGGAAUAUUGCACAAUGGGGGAAACCCUGAUGCAGCGACGCCGCGUGAAGGAUGAAGUAUUUCGGUAUGUAAACUUCUAUCAGCAAGGAAGAAAAUGACGGUACUUGACUAAGAAGCCCCGGCUAAAUACGUGCCAGCCGCCGC